rnacentral:rRNA from 1 species
CCUACGGGAGGCUGCAGUGAGGAAUAUUGGUCAAUGGGAGAGAUCCUGAACCAGCCAAGCCGCGUGAGGGAAGACGGCCCUAUGGGUUGUAAACCUCUUUUGUCGGAGAACAAAACCCGGGACGUGUCCCGGACUGCGUGUAUCCGAAGAAAAAGCAUCGGCUAACUCCGUGCCAGCAGCCGCGGUAAUACGGAGGAUGCGAGCGUUAUCCGGUUUUAUGGGGGUUAAAGGGUGCGUAGGCGGUCCGUUAAGUCAGCGGGAAAAUUGCGGGGCUCAACCCCGUCGAGCCGUUGAAACUGGCAGACUUGAGUGGGCGAGAAGUACGCGGAAUGCGCGGUGUAGCGGUGAAAUGCAUAGAUAUCGCGCAGAACACCGAUUGCGAAGGCAGCGUACCGGCGCCAGACUGACGCUGAGGCACGAAAGCGUGGGGAUCGAACAGGAUUAGAUACCCCAGUAGUC